UGAGGUGAUUAUCGCGCGGAGGCCCCACCCGUUCCCAUCCCGAACACGGCCGUUAAGCUCCGCAGCGCCGAUGGUACUCCAA
rnacentral:rRNA from 1 species